GAUCGAGAGGUCUUUGGGCUCGUCGACCCGGAUUCUCGACCCGGUAACCUGCAAAGGAGAUCCGACGGAAUCUCCUCCGUCCGGUGACGACAUGCUGACGGACCACCAGCGUUCGAACCGCUUCGACGUCGCCGACAUCCUUCUGGUAUCGGUUUGGUCGUUAAUCGACCCUAGAGCGAAAAUCGACGCCGUGAAGCUCUGAGUUCUCCGGCGGUUCUUCAGCUGUUUCUGGCGACGAAAUGAUCUGCAUGAGGUAGGAAAAUUAAUACUUGCGUCGAGCUCUACGUUGUGCUAUGAUUUUUUUUUGAAAUCGAUUAAGCUUUUAACAAAUUGUACUUUGGGUUGAGUUGGGUUCGGCCACCACCGCCGGAGGUGCUCUCCGUGGCUGUUUUGGCCUCUCAUGGCUUGUUUUCCGUCUUCCUGACAUCUUCGAACGCAUAUCAACUUCGACUGGAGUUAAUUCCAGAAGCUCCAAGUUUGGUAGCCGUCCGAUCCGCAAUUCAUUCUAGUCGGAUUUCGGAAAGCUGCUGUGUGCUCAAUGACUUACAACAUUUGAUUCUUCGAAGGACUCCAGUUACCCAAGGAAUGGAAGGUUCGUGAAUUCCGGACAACGCAAAACAAAAAAGCUUCAUAAUGUAGGGUGGCACUGACUUCCUUGGGUUCGAUCUCCUUAACCUCCAGAGGGUUAGCUACAACGGUCGGAUGGUGCGAGAUCGCAAUGACAACCCGGUUCCGUGUGUGUAGUUAGGUAGCGGACGCUCUCGCUACGCUUACUUGAUUUUAAAUUAUAGGCCAUGUUUGUUUCCCAGAAUCAGGGCAUUGGGAAAGGAAAGUGUUUCCUUUCCUGUGUUUGGGACAGGAAGGGAAAUUGGUUCCCAAAGGAAAUGAAAAAGUGGAGGAAAUUGGUUCCUCUCCCCUCCCCUCAGGAUUCACUUUCCCAAUGGAAAGGAAAAUGAUUCCUUUCAUUUCCACCAACCAAACAUGGCCAUAAUGUGAGGUAAGGUCGUGUAGUGGGUCUAGGGGACCGGCCAUCAAGUAAUAUGUGGUACUAUAUUUAAUUGUGUAUAAUGCAUUGGUUUUGAGUUGGAAAAUAUUUUAAAAUUUUGUCGUUUCUUUAAAUAAAAUGGUUUGAGUAUGUUUUUCAUUAUGGUGCACCUUUAAAGUUAAAAGUUUUCAAAUCUAACCUGGGUGAAGCCCCUACUGAGCAGUGAGGGUGAGCGUUCACCCCUACAAUAGUGUGGUUGCAGGUACUGUACACUGGUAAUGAGAUUGUAGUGGAUGGAGCUGGGUGCGAGGAAUUUGAUAACUCUUCGUAACGGAAUUCAGGUUUCGGAUGCUACUUUCAACCUUUAUUUCUUGACUCAUGUUAUUCCGGAACUUCUUGUUGAAUGUUUAUUGUGGUUGUUAAGUCCAGUAUUCCUUGACUAUUCGAAAAUGACAAGUUCUAAAUGAACAAAGUGAAUUUAGUAAUUUUAAGAAGUUUUCACCUCAAAAAUAUUUUCAAAUAUCCGCUGUGCGUUUUAUGAAAAGUUUAUAAAAAAAAUGCAUUGCAGUUCUCUAGAAUAUAA